rnacentral:rRNA from 1 species
AACAAACGCUGGCGGCGUGCCUAAUACAUGCAAGUCAAACGGGUAGCAAUACUAGUGGCGCACGGGUGAGGAAUACAUGGGUAAUCUGCCCUCGAGUUGGGGAUAACCAGUCGAAAGAUUGGCUAAAUACCGGAUAAGACCACAAGAUCUGCGGAUCAAGGGGUUAAAGGUUUUUCGCUUGAGGAUGAGCCCAUGUGGGAUUAGCUAGUUGGUGAGGUAAUGGCUCACCAAGGCGACGAUCCCUAACUGGUCUUAGAGGAUGAUCAGUCACACUGGAACUGAGACACGGUCCAGACUCCUACGGGAGGCAGCAGUAGGGAAUAUUGCACAAUGGGGGGAAACCCUGAUGCAGCGACGCCGCGUGAGUGAUGAAGGCCUUCGGGUCGUAAAGCUCUGUCGUAUGGGAAUAACACAAUGAAUGUACCAUGCAAGAAAGGAAUCGGCUAACUUACGUGCCAGCAGCCG